rnacentral:misc_RNA from 1 species
UUAAUAAGUGUUUUAUAUGGCACUUUUUAAAUCCAUAUCCACCUUGUGUGCAAUGUCAGUCGAUCUUCUUCAUGGAGAUCGACCAGACAUCAACCUUUAUUUUUUAACUCUUUGUCUGAAAAAUAUUAUGAAUAAACAAUUCAAAAUA